AUGCAAACAGCUCCCUGUCUUCCAAGCCUUCGUAUUUACCCCUUCUUGCAAACCUCUGCUGGAUGCUGCCUGUCCCUUCAAGCAGUAAGGGGCACUGCCACCUUAUAUGAAACGGGUGGCAUGAUAAUAUUGUUUGAUGCCAUAUUUUCUGUCCUGGCGUGUGCACACUUGCCCAUGUUGCUGCACUCCUGGAGCUGUGCGCUGAAUGAUGAUGAAGUGCCACUGACAGCGUCGCCUGGCAGCCCGAUGCAGGUUGAUGUGAGAUGUGUGCUCGCCUCCUCUGCUGGCUGCCCUUCUCUGAUGUCUAAGGUCUUUGCUGUGAUGGCAGUGACUUCAGCCUCCAUUUUGAUGACCACAAUCUCAGAGCAUGUGUCCGCUGUGCAUUUCAGUUCACUGGCAGUGAGGAUGGAGCUGAGAUGCCAGAAGCAUUGAUCAAUGGAAGAUGAUGAAACACUUCUGGUAGCGGUAUGCAUAGCCCAGGGAGAGAAGCAACAGGCUACAGGACAUAUGGGAUGAGAAGACUGGGUUCUUGGGGAAUUACACACCCAUCUGUGCCAUCAUUAAUGAGCAGGCAUUGUCUUAACUGGUUUGGGAGAGGAAGAAGGUGUAUACAUUGGUGCAGCAGUUAGCGUGGGAACCUGCUGAUGUCCGUCAAGAGGAAAAAGUCCUUGUCCGAGCUAGAAAAUCCAUGCAUGUUUCAAUAACAUCAGAAUCUAAGACGUGCUCAUCACAAUAAAUAUUUAAGUGAAUAAAAGAAUUGUUGUUAG
rnacentral:lncRNA from 1 species